GAAAGCAAAUUGCGACAGUAGUAUUUAUUGAAUGCAAGUCAUUAUGGGACAUGCAUAUUUGCUUACCAAAUUAGAGAUUUUACUACUGAAUUGAGGUAAUUGUAGAAAUUGUUGAUUUGGGUCCUAUCUAUUAGAUAAUUUAUUUAUGGGUUGGAAGCUAUUUCAUAAAAUACGUUAUUCCCAGGUUCAAUAAUGAUGAAUUUUAACAAAAUCAAGCGCACAGAAACACCACUACUGAUCCCAUUGAUCCAAUCCAAUCGACAUACUCACAAGAAAUGGAAACAAACAAUAGACGAUCUGAACUGAACUGAAUCUACUACCACCAUCCAUAGACGACUCUGGAGUAACGAUCCUUGAGCCAGCGGAAGCUCUUUUUGAACGAACCUU
rnacentral:lncRNA from 1 species